GGAUGUGAGGGCGAUCUGGCUGUGACAUCUGUCACCCCAUUGAUCGCCAGGGUUGAUUUGGCUGAUCUGGCUGGCUAGGCAGGUGUCCCCUUCCUCCCUCACCGCUCCAUGUGCGUCCCUCCCGAAGCUGCGCGCUCGGUCGAAGAGGACGGCCUUCCCCGAAUAGAGAUGGACCGGUCUUCAGUCGAGGGUAUACGAGUAGCUGCGCUCCCCUGCUAGAACCUCCAAACAAGCUCUCAAGAGGAAACAGCCAUUCUAUACUCUUUUGCAUCUGGCUUUUAUCAAGUGUGCAAAGUGCUUACAAAUUUGUCCUCAUCAACCUUGUACAUCACUGU
rnacentral:snRNA from 1 species